AUUGAACGCUGGCGGCAGGCCUAACACAUGCAAGUCGAGCGCAGCGGCGGACGGGUGAGUAAUGCCUAGGAAUCUGCCUGGUGGUGGGGGAUAACGUCCGGAAACGGGCGCUAAUACCGCAUACUAUCAGAUGAGUCUAGGUCGGAUUUGCUAGUUGGUGGGGUAAAGGCCUCCCAAGGCGACGAUCCGUACCUGGUCUGAGCGGAUGAUCAGUCACACUGUAACUGAGACACGGUCCAGACUCCGACGGGAGGCAGCAGUGGGGAAUAUUGGACAAUGGGCGAAAGCCUGAUCCAGCCAUGCCGCGUGUGUGAAGAAGGUCUUCGGAGUGUAAAGCACUGUAAGUUGGGAGGCGUUACCAACAGAAUAAGCACCGGCUAACUUCGUGCCAGCAGCCGCGGUAAUUC
rnacentral:rRNA from 1 species